AGGGGACCCGGCCCGCGGCACAAGGGAGCUUUUACCUUUACCUGCGGGGCUCCCGCCCGAGAAACUGAUGCAGAGCAGCAAUAGCAGCGGCGGCAGCAGCCGCCCCAGGCACCUCCCGGCGAAGGUGGCAGGCAUGGUGCCCCCGCCGCGCUUCCCCGGCUCGGCCGGGCUCGGCCCCGCACCCCUGGGCUGUGCCGGCUCAGGAAGCCUCGAGCGCACCGGAGCGGCUCUGCCGCAGAGCCGGCUGGUACCGCAGCGACAGGGGGCAAAAACUGAAGCAAAACGGCCCCAGAUCCACCUGUGCAAGAAAAACGACAGGCAAAAGAAACGGCCGGCCAGCACCGGUUACACAGCCGACCCCCCGAGCAAAAGGACCUGCCCCGCGCUGCGCUCGCCGCCCUUUAUGUGGCGGAGGAAGGGCGGGGGCGCGCACCGGUGCCUAAUUGGAGCGGGGCCCUGCGCCUGAGCCUCCUGGGAGACCCCCCGGGGUCAGCGGGAGGCUUACAGGGCAGGACUUCUGCCACCAGUGAGGGAGCAGAAAUAUGAAGAAAAAGGAUUGCAAAAGCCAUGAGACAAUCUUCAGCACUUUUACUGACUACAGUCAUCAGCCGAAACUGCACAACUGAAGUGUGAAGAACUUUGAUCACAUUAAAACUUUGCAGAACGCUGGUAAAAUAUGUUCCUGUCCUCAUGAGUUCAGAGGCAGAGACCUCACUCCAUGUGCAUUGGGAGUACCUAACAGUAGAGAUUUUGAAUGAAUAGAAAGCAAGCCAUGCCCUUUGUACAGACAGCAUGUUUGGACUUGGCUUGGGAAGAAUUUGAGUUGCAGUCUCUAGCACACAGUGCAGAUUGCAGGUUUACAGAUAAAUGCUGUCCAGCUUUGCUGUAAAAGUGGUGUGCUCACUCCUACAUUUGAACUGUCCUGGAAUUUUCAAUCUGGAAAUAAAAUUUCAAGUACAGUU